UACGAAGGGGGCAAGCGUUGUUCGGAAUUACUGGGCGUAAAGCGUUGCGCAGGCUGGUUUUUUGUAAGCCAGAUGUGAAAAUCCCCGGGGCUCAACCUGGGGAAUGGCAUUUGGGACUGCAAGGCUGGAGUGCGGCAGAGGAGACUGGGAAUUCCUGGUGUAGCAGUGAAAUGCGUAGAAUAUCAGGAGGAAUACCGAUGGCGGAAGGCAGGUCUCUGGGGCUGGACCACUUGA
rnacentral:rRNA from 1 species